rnacentral:rRNA from 1 species
AGAGUUUGAUCCUGGCUCAGAUUGAACGCUGGCGGCGUGCCUAACACAUGCAAGUCGAGCGGUAACAGGUGUAGCAAUACAUGCUGACGAGCGGCGGACGGGUGAGCAAUGCUUGGGAAUCUGCCUAUUAGUGGGGGACAACCCGGGGAAACUCGGGCUAAUACCGCAUACGCACUACGGUGGAAAGCCGGGGACCGCAAGGCCUGGCGCUAAUAGAUGAGCCCAAGUCGGAUUAGCUAGUUGGUGAGGUAAUGGCUCACCAAGGCGACGAUCCGUAGCUGGUCUGAGAGGACGACCAGCCACACCGGAACUGAGACACGGUCCGGACUCCUACGGGAGGCAGCAGUGGGGAAUAUUGGACAAUGGGGGAAACCCUGAUCCAGCGACGCCGCGUGGGUGAAGAAGGCCUGCGGGUUGUAAAGCCCUUUCAGUGGGGAAGAAAAGCCUCGUUCUAAUACAGCGGGGUCUUGACGUAACUCACAAAAGAAGCACCGGCUAACUCUGUGCCAGCAGCCGCGGUAAUACAGAGGGUGCGAGCGUUAAUCGGAAUUACUGGGCGUAAAGCGCGCGUAGGCGGCUUUGCAAGUCAGGUGUGAAAUCCCCGGGCUUAACCUGGGAACUGCAUUUGAGACUGCAUUGCUAGAGUAUGGGAGAGGGAAGUGGAAUUUCAGGUGUAGCGGUGAAAUGCGUAGAUAUCUGAAGGAACAUCAGUGGCGAAAGCGACUUCCUGGACCAAUACUGACGCUCAUGUGCGAAAGCGUGGGGAGCAAACAGGAUUAGAUACCCUGGUAGUCC